rnacentral:rRNA from 1 species
GAUGAACGCUGGCGGCGUGCCUAAUACAUGCAAGUCGAACGCGCGGAUCAGGAGCUUGCUCCUGUGACGCGAGUGGCGGACGGGUGAGUAACACGUAGGCAACCUGCCCAUCAGACUGGGAUAACCACGGGAAACCGUGGCUAAUACCGGAUAAUCCUUUCCCACACAAGUGGGAAAGUUGAAAGGCGGCUUCGGCUGUCACUGAUGGAUGGGCCUGCGGCGCAUUAGCUUGUUGGUGGGGUAACGGCCCACCAAGGCGACGAUGCGUAGCCGACCUGAGAGGGUGAUCGGCCACACUGGGACUGAGACACGGCCCAGACUCCUACGGGAGGCAGCAGUAGGGAAUCUUCCGCAAUGGACGAAAGUCUGACGGAGCAACGCCGCGUGAGUGAAGAAGGGUUUCGGCUCGUAAAACUCUGUUGUCAGGGAAGAACGCCGACGGGAGCAACUGCCCGUCGGGUGACGGUA